GAGUUUGAUCGUGGCUCAGGAUGAACGCUAGCUACAGGCUUAACACAUGCAAGUCGAGGGGCAGCAUGGUCUUAGCUUGCUAAGGCCGAUGGCGACCGGCGCACGGGUGAGUAACACGUAUCCAACCUGCCGAUAACUCGGGGAUAACCCUUCGAAAGAAGGCCUAAUACCCGAUGGCAUAUCCCUUCCGCCUGGUGGGGAUAUUAAAGAACUUCGGUUAUCGAUGGGGAUGCGUUCCAUUAGCUUGUUGGCGGGGUAACGGCCCACCAAGGCAUCGAUGGAUAGGGGUUCUGAGAGGAAGGUCCCCCCACAUUGGAACUGAGACACGGUCCAAACUCCUACGGGAGCAGCAGUGAGGAAUAUUGGUCAAUGGGCGAGAGCCUGAACCAGCCAAGUAGCGUGAAGGAUGACUGCCCUAUGGGUUUAAACUUC
rnacentral:rRNA from 1 species